CCGUGUCACGCGCUGAACCCUUGUUUUGCGGUCUCCCGCGUCACGUGACGUGUUGGCAGUUCCGCUUCCGUUGUGGCGGCGCCCCCCAGCGUUGGGUCUCGUUUCCCGCCUUGCGCCGUGUCUGCCUCUGUCGGAUCCCGCGAUGGAGGCUGCGGCCGGGGGCGCUGAGCCCGCGGGCGGAUGCGCGGCGGCCCCGGAGGAGCCCGUGGUCUCCCUGGCUGACGUGCUGGCGGAGAACGAGGAGCUCGAGAAGGAGGCGCGGGCGGUGCUUGGUGGGAGCGAUCACGAGCGCUGCAGCUACUCCCAGGGUGCUGUAAAAAGACAAGCCUUGUAUGCCUGCAGUACUUGCACCCCACCAGGAGAAGAACCAGCAGGAAUCUGUUUAGCCUGCAGUUAUGAAUGUCAUGGCACGCACAAGUUAUUUGAACUAUAUACAAAAAGAAACUUCCGCUGUGACUGUGGAAACAGCAAAUUCAAAAAUUUGCAGUGCAAGCUAUUUCCAGAAAAGGGAAAAGUGAAUUCAGGCAAUAAGUAUAAUCACAACUUCUAUGGAUUAUACUGUGUUUGUAAAAGACCGUAUCCUGAUCCUGAAGAUGAGAUCCCAGAUGAAAUGAUCCAGUGCAUAGUUUGUGAAGACUGGUUCCAUGGAAGGCACCUUGGGGCAGUUCCCCCUGAGAGUGGGGACUUCCAUGAGAUGGUGUGCCAGGCCUGCAUGAAUUGCUGUUCUUUCCUUUGGGCGUAUACUUCACAGUUAGCAGUUCCUACUCUGACCAAAGUGACCUCACUUGAAGAUGAAAGGAUUGGGCUGAAUGUCAAGGAAACUGAAGAACAGAACAGAGAAAUCAAAAAGGAAAGUGGAGGAGAUCACCAAGGGAAGAUCAAGGAGGAAGAGCAAGUAGAGCAGUAUAAUGAGCCAUCUACUAGUUCUGGCUCUAAGUGUCCAGAGACAGUUACAAAAAGUGAUGAACCGGUCUGUAAGCUGCGAGAACUCCAGACCAAGCAGUCUCUAAAGAAGGAUACCGCCACCUUUUGGCCAUCUAACUGGCGGAGUAAAUUGUGCACAUGCAAAGACUGUUUAAAAAUGUAUUCAGAACUGGAUAUCCAAUUCCUGAUUGAUGAAUGUGACACUGUCUUGGCCUAUGAGAAUAAAGGUACAAGUGACCAGGAAACAGACAGAAGAGAUCCUUUAAUGGACACGCUUAAUAGCAUGAACAGAGUCCAGCAAGUAGAACUCAUCUGUGAAAAAUGCAUCCAUUUUUUCUGACCUGUCAAAACAAAUUGAUCAAAUUGUGGCUGAAGAAAUAAUAUCCUAAAUUGACCGUGAGACUGAAGAGUGCAGCUUUUUUGCUUGUGAAGUAGAUGAAACAACUGACAUUUCUCAAUUAAGCCAGCUUCCACUUGUGUUAUGCUACGUGGACAAGAAGGGGCAAACAAAGGAACGGUUCAUGGGUUUUAAAAAUGUCAGUGCAAAUCGAACCGUAGUUGCUUUGAAGCAGGUUCUGAAUUCAGUGCUGUUAAAAUACAACUACAAAAGAAAACUUGUCUCAUUCAUAUGAUGGCGCUGUACUGUUUACUAGUGAGCUGGGAGGUCUGCAAGCCCUAAUUAAAAAAGAGGCUCCACAAGCUCUGUUUGUGCAUGGUUUUGCCCACAAAUUAGAUUUAGUUCUCCAGCAAGGGGCGCAGUGUAUUAAAGAAACCCGUGGCUUUUUUGCAACCUUGGAAGGCUUCUCCACAUUUUUUACAUGCUCAGGCAAACACAGUGAACUGCUGGAUUGAAUUGUGGGCCAAAGGAUACCUUCCCACUGUGCAGUUUGAUGGACAUCCAAACAGCAGAGUCCUACAUACUAUUGUCUGGGAAAGAGAGAAACUUCGCAAAGUAUUUCAGGAGAUUGUCAGUGCCAGUGGUUGGGAUGGAGAAUCUCUGUGACAAGCCAUAGGAUACCUUACAAAACUAAACCACUUCCAGUUUCUUUUCUUGCCAUACGCCUACUGUAACAUCUUCAGCAUCACUGCCAUUCUCGUGAUGUUCUUCACAAAAAGGCUGUUGAUGUAGAUUACUGCAAUUUGCAAGUUCAAUUAACAAUCACAAGGGUUGGUGAUCUGCAUAAAGAAGAAGUGUUCAAAGAAGUGUUUAAUUCUGCAGCCACUACCCUCACUGACUUACCUUCACCUCCAAAGAAGUGUAGGCUGGAUUUGGAAGAUGGAUUCUCUGAAGAUGGUCAGAAACUGUAUUUGCAACUAUACAAUGAAAUCACUGAUAACAUCAUUCUGCAGCUGGCUCUCAGGUUUGUAAACAUAAAGGCCCUCCACUUCAUUGAGCUAUUGGACUCAUCAAGAUUUCCAGCUUUCAGGAAACACUUCCCUACAGAUGCUUUUACCUCACUCUCCAGUUCUUAUGGCAGUUACUUUGAUUUGGAUCGUCUCAAGAAUGAGUUUGGUGUCAUUUUCAAAGAUGAGCAGUUUCAGAAUUGUUCUGUUAGCAAUGUGCUGCGCUUAAUCAAUGAAACUGGGCUCUGAAGUGCUUAAGGAAGUGUACCACUUUUUUUGCUUAGUUGCCACUUUACCAGCAAUAACAGUGUGUGUGAAGAGCGGCUUUUCUUGCCUUAAACACAUCGAGACAUACUUGAGCACAAUGGAUCAGGGUUGUCUCACUGCACUGGCCACAAUAUUAAUUGAAAAAGAACUGUUGUCUUCCCUGGAGAAGCAACCAGCCUGGUACGAUGAUGAUAUUGCAUGCUUUGCUUCAAAAAAAGAAAGAUUGAUUGAUUGAUCUUCACCAUAUGAAUAAGAAUACAACGACCUAAAGACAGAACUGACUGAUUAUCUCAGGCGAUUUGCAGAUGAAGGAACAGUUGUUAAAAGAGAGGACAUUCAGCAAUUCUUUG